AUACCUCUUAGAUAUCAAAAUCUACUGCUGAAGUUGAUAUUCCCACAAGCUCUACCUGGAUUAGUGUAAUUGAUUCCUCAGUGGAGUUCUUGCUUCCAAUUAUAUCCCUCUCCCAUUCUCUUUGCUUCAAGAAGAUGGCUAUGAAUUUCAUAUUUUUGAAAAGUUUAUCCUAAUAUACAACUGAGUUUGUUAUCCACUCUUUAACCUCUGGAAAGCACUAAUCUGUUUUGUACAAUUUUUCCAUUUGCAAAAUGUCACAUGAGUGAAAUUAUAUAGCAUGGAACUCUUUGGGAUUGACAGUAUAUUCUUUGUUAUAGUUGAGCAGUAUUCCAUUGUAUGGAAUAAUCAUAAUGGACUCAGCUAUUUUCUUCAAAGAAAUCUGGGUUGCAUUUUAGUGUCUAGAUACCAUGAAUAAAGCUUUUAUUAGCAUUUGUAUGUGUAUUUUUGUUGGAACAGAUGUUUGUCUUCAUUUCUCUGAGAUAAAUACAAUGGCUAGGUUAUUUGGUAUUUGUGUGCUUAGCUUUUUAAAACAACUAGCAGAAACUUUUGGAGAUUAAGUAAGAUAUUGUUCAUAAAGAAUCUCUAACAAAAGUAUAAUAUGCUUAUCAUUACUGAUUACUAUCAGUAUCAGAAAUAACACAGAGGACUUUUUCCCCAUUCAAGGUUUGUGACUGAGUCCUUGAUCGCCACCUGGUGGCUACAUGCUGCAGCCAUUCCCUUUCUAGCAGGGAAACCACACUGGUGAAUUACUUUUUCUCCGGAUACAAACAGGAAAAAACAAAGGCACCAACCGAUGAAACAAAAACCAGAAUCAAGUGACUGUCCUGUAGCCCCGUAAGUGAAGAUACCAAGAACUGCUGUGGAUGCCUUGGCUCUGCGCCUGAGCUCAGCAGAAGAAUUGGUGGAGAGGACUUCCCUUAUUCUGUCCUGAAGCAUCUCCAGGCUUCCGCGGAGUCCCAGGCAGCCACACUCCUUCCAGGACCAAGGAACCCCUUCGUAUGCAAAUACAGCUCCAGGGUGAUGCUUCCAGAAGCAAAGCUCUGCUGUGGGAGGGCUGUUUUCUUCAUCCACUCUAAUCUCUGGGUCCACAUUAUUCCAGGAACAGAACCCCUGCUGCUUAGCUGGGCAUGGGCCCUGGAGGAAGGAGGCUGCCUAUGGCAAGGCCUUCUGCACCCAGGUGUGCCUGCAGCCAGGUCGUAAAUGCUGAGAGGGGAGCAGCACCAGCACCCAACAUCCCCGGAGGUGAACUUCAUUGAAGCCUCAGUCCUUCCAGCAUCCACUGGAGCAGUGUUUUGAAAAGACUACUGAGGAAG
rnacentral:lncRNA from 1 species